rnacentral:rRNA from 1 species
UGGGGAAUAUUGCACAAUGGGGGGAACCCUGACGCAGCAACGCCGCGUGAAGGAAUACGGUUUUCGGAUUGUAAACUUCUUUGUCCGAGGCCGAUAAUGACGGUACCCGGAAAACAAGCCACGGCUACCUACGUGCCAGCAGCCACGGUAAUACGUAGGUGGCGAACGUUGUCCGGAAUUACUGGGUGUAAAGGGUGAGUAGGCGGAAUGGCAAGUCAGAUGUGAAAUUUCGGGGCUUAACCCCGGGGCUGCAUUUGAACUGCUGUUCUUGAGUGAUGGAGAGGCAGGCGGCAUUCCUAGUGUAGCGGUGAAAUGCGUAGAUAGUAGGAGGAACACCUGCGGUGUAGACGGCUCUCUGGACCGUUUCUGACGCUGAGACACGAAAGCGUGGGUAGCAAACA